AGAACGAACGCUGGCGGCAGGCCUCAAACAUGCAAGUCUAGGGGGUGUAGCAAUACAUCACCGGCGGACGGGUGCGUAACGCGUGGGAAUGUACCUAUUGGUUCGGAACAACUGAGGGAAACUUCAGCUAAUACCGGAUGAGCCCGCAAGGGGAAAGAUUUCUCGCCAAUAGAUCAGCCCGCGUCCGAUUAGCUAGUUGGUGGGGUUAAAGCCUACCAAGGCGACGAUCGGUAGCUGUUCUGAGAGGAAGAUCAGCCACACUGGGACUGAGACACGGCCCAGACUCCUACGGGAGGCAGCAGUUGGGAAUCUUGGACAAUGGGGGAAACCCUGAUCCAGCCAUGCCGCGUGAGUGAUGAAGGCCUUCGGGUUGUAAAACUCUUUCGACGGGGACGAUAAUGACGGUACCCGUAGAAGAAGCUCCGGCUAACUUCGCGCCAGCAGCCGC
rnacentral:rRNA from 1 species